rnacentral:rRNA from 1 species
UAAGGAAUAUUGCACAAUGGGCGAAAGCCUGAUGCAGCAACGCCGCGUGCGCGAUGAAGGCCUUCGGGUUGUAAAGCGCUUUUCUGGGGGAAGAGAAGGGACGGUACCUCAGGAAUAAGUCUCGGCUAACUACGUGCCAGCAGCCGCGGUAACACGUAGGAGACAAGCGUUAUCCGGAUUUAUUGGGCGUAAAGGGCAUGUAGGCGGGUUCUUAAGUCGGAUGUGAAAUCUCUUGGCUUAACCGGGAGGGGUCAUUCGAUACUGGGAACCUUGAGGGCAGGAGAGGGAAGCAGAAUUCCCGGUGUAGUGGUGGAAUACGUAGAUAUCGGGAGGAAUACCAGUGGCGAAGGCGGCUUCCUGGCCUGUGCCUGACGCUGAUAUGCGAAAGCGUGGGUAGCAAACGG